UCUCAACACCUUCAACAUUCUCAAUGGUUUCUCUCUAAAUAGCAACUUCUACUUCCCACAGAAAUGGUUAUGAAAAGAGAGUCUGCAAUUGUGUACAUCAACUAGGUGUCAGGAUCUUUCAAGAAAAGAUAAAAAUUUUAAGUCAAAAUGUAAAGGUCGAGAUAAAUUGUUCAGUCUAAGAAUAUUCAAACAUAAAACAAAAUGUAAAGGUGGAGAUAAAUUGUUCAGUCUAAGAAUAUUCAAACAUAAAACAAAAUGUAAAGGUGGAGAUAAAUUGUUCAGUCUAAGA